rnacentral:misc_RNA from 1 species
UCUCUCUCUCUCUCUCUCUUCAUUAUGAAUUUGGUACACCAAAUUCAUAAUUUUCAUUUCUGAAAAAAGGUUCUCUAAUGUUCAACUUUGGACAACAUCUCAAUUAAAACUCCAUGACCAAAGCUUCAAUUAUUUGCCCUAAUGCAAAGGAUGAACAAACCCAAACAUAUUUAAUUACAAACUAAACACCACGAUUAAACAUCGCCAUGGAACGUUGAUAAGAUUCCUGUCUCUGAAGUCUCAUCUCAUUAUUGAACUUUUUAAUGAACGCUUCUGCUCGUUGAUUCAACUCUUCUGGACUCAUCGAUUUCUCCCUCCUUAACGAUGCUCUGUCACUGAACGUCUCCGACUUUCUCAGCUCUCGCCGAGCCCACGCCACCGGAUCAAUCUCAUCAUUAUCAUCAUCAUCAUCAUCCGCCACUGCUGCUGCUGCUGCUGCUGCCACCACCACCCGAGGAGGUGUGUCCCACGUCUCGCUCUUCUUCAGCUUCCGCGACUGUGCCUUCCCUUGGCCUUCCAUGAUCAAAUUCCACGUCUCCUCCAUCGUGUCCUCUGUUGCAUCUUCUGGGAUCGCCGUUGUCAUCUUCUCUUCUCCCAUCUGGAGUGAUUUACCAGAAUCUAUCAAACCAGAGUCAGAGGAGCUGCAGGGCUCCUGAGAUGGAUUAAUGGGUGUCGCAAAGUUCACUUGUUUUUCAUCUUCUUCAACGUCCAUAUCUUGCCAGAAAUUGCUUGGACUUUUGUCUGUAGAAAGAAAAUGGGUUUUUGCAGAGGAUGGUUUGGUGUAAUUUUGAUGCUGAAGCGUGGAGAAAGCAGCAAUGGUGAUAAUGAUGAAGUUGAGAAUGAUAUAGAUGUAAGGUGGAGCAAGCCAACUACGGAGAGAGAUCCAAAUCUUGGGUAAAGAAGAAAGAAUAAGAUCAAAUGCAAAUGGGAUUAUUGCCACUUUGAACAAAAUUACAGUGGAUAUGAUCCCUGCUGAAAACAACACCAACUUUGCAACCCAAAUAGCCGCCUCCAAUCUUCUGAAAACAGAGCUUGGAAACAGAUUGGCCAUCAAGUGUUGGAUGAUCUACUGCUAGUUUUCAAAGAAAAAGAAAGAGAUCUGUUCAAAAAAGCUUCUGGGUUUUUAUCUGUGGUCUCUGAGAUGACAAAAACAGGAGACCCAAAUCAAAGAUUCUAAAACUUUAAAAUGGAUAUGUAAAACAAAAAUAAAAGAAGCCGUGAAUCGAUCUUGAUGAGAUAUAAACGUUGGAAUGAAAUUGUAUUGCACAGAUAAUGAUCUUUCUUGUUCUUUCCAUGAAAAUGGCAGAUCAGAGAUUGGUUUAAAGAAAGCAGAUCAAUAGCAUUAGUUUGAGAGAAUUUAAAAGAGGUGAAACUACUGUGGUCUCUCGAAUCAGGACAGAGAAAUCCUGGAACAGAGGAACUGGGUACAGA